rnacentral:rRNA from 1 species
CCUACGGGCUGCAGCAGUAGGGAAUCUUCCACAAUGGACGAAAGUCUGAUGGAGCAACGCCGCGUGAGUGAAGAAGGGUUUCUGCUCUUUAAGCUCUGUUGGUAGUGAAGAAAGAUAGAGGUAGUAACUGGCCUUUAUUUGACGGUAAUUACUUAGAAAGUCACGGCUAACUACGUGCCAGCAGCCGCGGUAAUACGUAGGUGGCAAGUGUUGUCCGGAUUUUUUGGGCGUAAAGCGAGUGCAGGCGGUUCAAUAAGUCUGAUGUGAAAGCCUUGGGCUCAACCGGAGAAUUGCAUCAGAAACUGGUGAACUUGAGUGCAGAAGAGGAGAGUGGAACGCCAUGUGUAGCGGUGGAAUGCGUAGAUAUAUGGAAGAACACCAGUGGCGAAGGCGGCUCUCUGGUCUGCAACUGACGCUGAGGCUCGAAAGCAUGGGUAGCGAACAGGAUUAGAUACCCCAGUAGUC